rnacentral:rRNA from 1 species
UGGGGAAUAUUGCGCAAUGGGGGGAACCCUGACGCAGCCAUGCCGCGUGAAUGAAGAAGGCCUUCGGGUUGUAAAGUUCUUUCGGUAUUGAGGAAGGUUGAUGUGUUAAUAGCACAUCAAAUUGACGUUAAAUACAGAAGAAGCACCGGCUAACUCCGUGCCAGCAGCCGCGGUAAUACGGAGGGUGUGAGCGUUAAUCGGAAUAACUGGGCGUAAAGGGCACGCAGGCGGUUAUUUAAGUGAGGUGUGAAAGCCCCGGGCUUAACCUGGGAAUUGCAUUUCAGACUGGGUAACUAGAGUACUUUAGGGAGGGGUAGAAUUCCACGUGUAGCGGUGAAAUGCGUAGAGAUGUGGAGGAAUACCGAAGGCGAAGGCAGCCCCUUGGGAAUGUACUGACGCUCAUGUGCGAAAGCGUGGGGAGCAAACAGGAUUAGAUACCCUGGUAGUCCACGCCGUAAACGCUGUCGAUUUGGGGGUUGGGGUUUAACUCUGGCGCCCGUAGCUAACGUGAUAAAUCGACCGCCUGGGGAGUACGGCCGCAAGGUUA